GACGAACGCUGGCGGCGUGCUUAACACAUGCAAGUCGAGCGGUAAGGCCCUUUCGGGGGUACACGAGCGGCGAACGGGUGAGUAACACGUGGGUGACCUGCCCUCAGCUCUGGGAUAAGCCUGGGAAACCGGGUCUAAUACUGGAUAUGACUCCAUGACGCAUGUUGUGGGGUGGAAAGCCUUGUGCGGCUGAGGAUGGGCCCGCGGCCUAUCAGCUUGUUGGUGGGGUGAGGCCUACCAAGGCGACGACGGGUAGCCGGCCUGAGAGGGCGACCGGCCACACUGGGACUGAGACACGGCCCAGACUCCUACGGGAGGCAGCAGUGGGGAAUCUUGCGCAAUGGCCGAAAGGCUGACGCAGCGACGCCGCGUGGA
rnacentral:rRNA from 1 species